UGAGGAAUAUUGGUCAAUGGGCGAGAGCCUGAACCAGCCAAGUAGCGUGCAGGAUGACGGCCCUAUGGGUUGUAAACUGCUUUUACGCGGGGAUAAAGUUCGUGACGUGUCGCGCAUCGCAGGUACCGCGUGAAUAAGGACCGGCUAAUUCCGUGCCAGCAGCCGCGGUAAUACGGAAGGUCCGGGCGUUAUCCGGAUUUAUUGGGUUUAAAGGGAGCGCAGGCCGCCCGAUAAGCGUGUUGUGAAAUGUACCGGCUCAACCGGUGAGUUGCAGCGCGAACUGUCAGGCUUGAGUGCACGGUAAGCAGGCGGAAUUCAUGGUGUAGCGGUGAAAUGCUUAGAUAUCAUGAGGAACUCCGAUUGCGAAGGCAGCUUGCUGCAGUGCGACUGACGCUUAGGCUCGAAGGUGCGGGUAUCAAACAGG
rnacentral:rRNA from 1 species